rnacentral:rRNA from 1 species
UGGGGAAUAUUGCACAAUGGGGGAAACCCUGAUGCAGCGACGCCGCGUGAGUGAAGAAGUAAUUCGUUAUGUAAAGCUCUAUCAGCAGGGAAGAUAAUGACGGUACCUGACUAAGAAGCCCCGGCUAACUACGUGCCAGCAGCCGCGGUAAUACGUAGGGGGCAAGCGUUAUCCGGAUUUACUGGGUGUAAAGGGAGCGUAGGUGGCAGGGCAAGUCAGAUGUGAAAUGCCGGGGCUCAACCCCGGAACUGCAUUUGAAACUGUCCGGCUGGAGUGCAGGAGAGGUAAGUGGAAUUCCUAGUGUAGCGGUGAAAUGCGUAGAUAUUAGGAGGAACACCAGUGGCGAAGGCGGCUUACUGGACUGCAACUGACGUUGAGGCUCGAAGGCGUGGGGAGCAAA